rnacentral:rRNA from 1 species
AAAUGAAUAGACGGGGACCCGCACAAGCAGUGGAGUAUGUGGUUUAAUUCGAAGCAACGCGAAGAACCUUACCAGGGCUUGACAUCUACUGAACCCCCAAGAGAUUGGGGGGUGCCUUCGGGAGCAGUAAGACAGGUGGUGCAUGGUUGUCGUCAGCUCGUGUCGUGAGAUGUUGGGUUAAGUCCCGCAACGAGCGCAACCCUUAUCGUUAGUUGCCAUCAUUAAGUUGGGCACUCUAGCGAGACUGCCGUUGACAAAACGGAGGAAGGUGGGGACGACGUCAAAUCAUCAUGCCCCUUAUGUCCUGGGCUACACACGUACUACAAUGGCUGUUAACAGAGGGAAGCGAAGCGGUGACGCGGAGCAAAUCCCCAAAAGCAGUCUCAGUUCGGAUUGCAGGCUGAAACCCGCCUGUAUGAAGUCGGAAUUGCUAGUAAUCGCGAAUCAGCAUGUCGCGGUGAAUACGUUCCCGGGUCUUGUACACACCGCCCGU